rnacentral:rRNA from 2 species
AUCGCGUCGCCCCCCACAAUUCUCCGUAAAGGGAACAUGUGUUUUGGGGGCGGAUAUUGGUCUCCCGUGCUCAUGGCGUGGUUGGCCGAAAUAGGAGUCCUUUCGAUGGACGCACGAACUAGUGGUGGUCGUAAAAACCCUCGUCUUUUGUUUCGUGCUGUUGCUCGCAAGGUAAACUCUUUAAAAACCCCAAUGUGUCGUCUCUUGACGACGCUUCGACC